AUUGAACGCUGGCGGCAUGCCUUACACAUGCAAGUCGAACGGCAGCGGGCCCUUCGGGGUGCCGGCGAGUGGCGAACGGGUGAGUAAUGCAUCGGAACGUACCCGGGAGAGGGGGAUAACCGGCCGAAAGGCUGGCUAAUACCGCAUGAACUCGGAAGAGCAAAGCGGGGGACCUUCGGGCCUCGCGCUCUCGGAGCGGCCGAUGUCCGAUUAGGCUAGUUGGUGGGGUAAAGGCCCACCAAGGCGACGAUCGGUAGCGGGUCUGAGAGGACGAUCCGCCACACUGGGACUGAGACACGGCCCAGACUCCUACGGGAGGCAGCAGUGGGGAAUCUUGGACAAUGGGCGCAAGCCUGAUCCAGCAAUGCCGCGUGGGUGAAGAAGGCCUUCGGGUUGUAAAGCCCUUUCGGCGGGGAAGAAAUCGGUCAGGCGAAUAGUCUGGCCGGAUGACGGUACCCGCAGAAGGAGCACCGGCUAACUACGUG
rnacentral:rRNA from 1 species